rnacentral:lncRNA from 10 species
UGGGAUUACAGGUGUGAGCCAACUUGCCCGGCCAGGAAUCCCUCCUCUGUCUGACCUAACUGCCCUCUGCCCUGGAGCUGCUCAGCCUCUAUCAAUUUUUCUGGCUCUCAGCGAACGUUUUCAUUCAGUUGCAAGACACAGAAACUCAAAUUCAAACCUGCUUACACAAAAUAGUGAAUGUACUGGCUCAUGCACUUUUUAAAGAGAUGAGGUCUGUUGUGCUGCCCAGGCUGGAUGUGAACUCCUGGGCCUAAGAAAUUCUCCUGCCUUAGUCUCCUGAGUAGCUGGGACUACAGGAGCAUGACUGUAAGUCCUGGUGUGAAUCAGGCUCCAGAAACAGCUUGAUCCUGGUUCCCAACAGUAUGGUCAAAACUCAUUCUCUCUUCUGUCUUCUUCUCUAUGACAGGUGCUCCCUAAGAAGUGACAAAGAAGGCCACUAACAGCUCUGGGCUCGAGACAUUCCCACUUGGCAACUUCUCAACUGUUCUGGCAAAAGCCAGGAGAGUGGAGGUCUUCCCCACCCGGACUACAUAAGCUGAGGGUGGGGUUUUUCAAAGAAAAGCUUAUUAUAGGAAGAAGGGUAAACAGACACUAGGAAGCUUCUGAUUAUUAUACCUAGUGAUUCUGUGAGCCUUUACUGCACAAACUGUUCCCAAACUUAAUUAUUUAAAACAAUGUAUUAUUUCUCACAAUUCUGUGAUUAGCUGGGCUCAGGUGGCAGUUCUGCUUAUGCUGUGGAUUGGCUAUGCUAGAGGGUCUGGGAUGUCCUCCCUCACAUGUAUGGAGCUGGCUGUUGGCUUCUCUCUCUACCUGGUCUGUGGUCGCCACAUGGUCUAGCCCAAACUUCCUUUCACAGGGUCAGGAACGGAAGCUGCAUGAGCACUUAAGUCCUAACCUUGGAAGUCGUACAGUCAUGUUACUGAAUUCUCUGAUCAAAGCAACUCACAAGACUAGUUCAGAUUCAAGAGACUGGGAAAUGGACCCCCCCCCUCCCCCGCCCGCCCGAUCUUGAUGGGAGCAAUGAUAAAGUCACAUUGCAAAAGGACACAGGCACAGGGAGGCAAUGAUUCAUGGGAGGCCAUUAUUGAAACAAUCAACUGUGUUCCACAACUCGCCUCUUCUAGUUCCUUUCACUAAAGGAUCAUCUCCCUCAAUAAGUCUUUCCGGCCAGGUGCGGUGGCUCACGUCUGCAAUCCCAGCACUCUGGUAGGCCGAGGUGGGAGGAUCGUUUGAGCUCAGGAGUUCAAGACCAGCCUGGGCAACACAGUGGGACCUUGUGUCUACAAAAAAUAAGAUAAUUAGCUGGGUGUGGUGGUGUGCGCCUGUAGUCCCAGCUACUCGGGAGGCUGAGGUGGGAGGAUCACUUGAGUCAGUGAGGUCGAGGCUGCAAUGAGCUGUGUUUGCACCACUGCAUUCCAGCCUGUGUGACAGAGUGAGACGCUGUUUCAAAAAACAAACAAAAUAAAUGUCUUUCCUGUGAAAUCCCAGCAAUGGUCCCUACCAGACCAUACCCAUUUUUAUUCAUUUAUUCAUUAAUGUAUUCAAUCACCAAGCAGUUAUUAAAACAUAAGCACAGUCCUAUGCUAGGGACCAGGGAUGCAGUAUCAUAAGACCCAAUUCCUGCCCUCAAGCAGUUUCUAGUCUAAAAGAAGAGACAGGGAAUUAGAUCAUCGUAACACAGCAUAUUAAGGGCUAUGCUAGAGGGGAACACAGGGCAUCUGGGAACACAAAGGGCAGCCAACUUGGCCUUGGGGGCCAGUGAUCUCUGGAUGAGUGGAGGUCCCCAGGUUGACAAGGGGAGCUGGAGCAAGUAUUAGGCAGAAAUCUUGGUUGCAAGUUAUAGAAACUCAACUGACUUAAAGAAAAGUCAUAACUAAAAAGUCCUGGGGGAUAUUAGCUUCAGGCAUAGCUGGAUCCAGGUAGUCAUCAGAAAUGAGUCUCUCCUUAUCUGGAGUACAGUGGUGUGAUCUCGGCUCACUGCAACCUCCGCCUCACGGGUUCAAGCAAUACUCCUGCCUCAGCCUCCUGAGUAGCUGGGACUACAGACGUGCGCCACCACGCCUGACUAAUUUUUGUAUUUUUAGUAGAGACAGGGUUUCAUCAUGUUGGCCAGCUGGCCUUGAACUCCUGACUUCAAGUAAUCUGCCUGCUUUGGCCUCCCAAAGUACUGGGGUUACAGGUGUGAGCCACCGAGCCCGGCCUCCUCUGUGUUGGCUUAGUUCUGAAGCAGGCUGUCCUUACAUGCUGGACACUAACAGCUGAAGACUAUGACUGUGAUUACUCAGUCGGGUCACAGGCUCACUCCUGGAAUCAGAGAGCAGGGCCAGUCCCUCGGAACCACAGGAUCUGAGAAUGGAGCAGGUUUGUCACCCAAAGGAGAAAAGGAAAAGAAGGGCUGUGGAGCUGGCCUGACAUCAGGUGUACUUCUAGACAGGUGACUAAGUUACAGCCCUCAAACAGAGAGGGCCUCCUGAGGGAAAUGUCCUGAGGGAAGGGGAAAUCGGCCUUGGGAAUGAGCAGAAGUGCUAAGAUCAAAUCUCUCUCCAAGGCUACUUCUUGGUUGUGUAAGCUCUGCAAGACUUUGUCCCUGACUUUCUCCUGUGAAAUCAAGUCUUUGCCAGUUGUCCUGAGGGUUAACUGAAAUAGCAUAUACAGGGGCUCGUGAAGUCACCCUGUUCUCUUCCCAUUAAAUCAAACAGUAAAGUCCCAGGGCUGGUCUACCUUGCUAGAAAAAAGAAGCUGACUCCACCUAGUGGCUAAUGGGGUCAUUGCACUGAAGAGUUGAACAUUUACAGAACUGCGUUCUGAUAUUCCUAGACAGAUGAAGCAGCAUAUAUGAACAGUAAGCUUGGGAGAGACAGGCCGGGGACGGGUCUGCCCUGUCUCUGUAACAGGGCUUUGCACAGGGCAGAGAGGUGAGGUUAGGUGGAUGGAUGGUCAGAGGGAGAAAGUGUUCUUCCUAUUGUAUUUUACACUAGUGACUGCUCAUCAGAGCAUCUGGUUUGGGGGUGGGGACAGCUCAUCUGGCAGGGACUGCUGUGAGGGAAGGAAGGGCUUUCUUCUUCUUCUUCUUUUUUUUUUUUUGAGACAGAGUCUCGCUCUGUCGCCCAGGCUGGAGUGCAGUGGCACGAUCUCAGCUCACUGCAAGCUCCGCCUCCCGGGUUCAUGCCAUUCUCCUGCCUCAGCCUCCCGGUAGCUGGGACUACAGGCACCCGCCACUACGACCAGCUAAUUUUUUGUAUUUUUAGUAGAGAUGGGGUUUCACCGUGUUAGCCAGGAUGGUCUCGAUCUCCUAACCUUGUGAUCCGCCCACCUCAGCCUCCCAAAGUGCUGGGAUUACAGGCGUGAGCCACCGCGCCUGGCGCCUGGCCCCUUUUUUCUUUCUUUCUUUUUUUUUUUUUUAAGAGGCUCCCAUUAUGUUGCCCAGGCUGGAUUUGAACUCCUGGGCUCAAGCGAUCCUCCUGCCUCAGCCUCCCGAGCAGAUGGGAUUGCAGGCACGUGCACCACACCUGGCUUAGGGCUCUGGGAGGAAACUCUACCUGUUCAUUGCUACUUCUUCAGGAUUUGAGCUGGGAACUGUGAUUUCUUCUAACUUCCACUUCACAAGGCCUCAGGUCACAUAUAGCUGGUGGCAGUGCUCAGACCAACACUUAGGGCUCCUGAAUCCCAGGCCCUUGUCCCUCAUGCCACCCCUCAUUGGCUGCUAUACAGGUACAUGUCUAGAUCUGUGUCUGCACUGGUGGGUUGUUAUAUUCAAACAGCUGCUUUGCAUCUAGCUCUGGGCUAAGAGUAUGCUUCCACUUCCUCUUGGUUCCAUUUCAUGCAUGAUUCCAUUUCUUCCCCUCAGGUGUGACACCUCAGUAGUGUCACUGGCCAAAGAGCCUUGGGCCUGGGAUAAGCAGGGGCUCCCCAGUAGUGGAGGGUGACUUUUCGCUGGGCCCCAGUAAAGAAUCACUUCUAGCCACUAUGCUACUUUUCCCCCCGCCUCAGUCAGACCGGAUUACUGAAUCUUAUUACAUGGGGCUAUGCCAGAUGCCAUCUGCUUGUGGCCUUACCCCCGCUCCAGGGGGACUCAGGGCUUACUUCAGGUCAACAAUAGAAAGAGCAGCAGCUAUCAUUUAUAUAGCAUUUAUCAUGUGUAAGGCACUAUUAUUUCAUAUCCACCUAUUCUUUUAAUUCUCAUGAUCACCCUGUGAGGUAGGUACUAAUGUUCCACCCCGAGGCUACAAAAUUCAAACCUGUCUUGAGCAUGCUAAAAGUAAGAAGGGCCCUGAUUUCAAGUCAGGAACUAUGGAUUCAAAUUCCUGGGUACCACCAGAAUGGCCAAUAUUAAAAAAACUGACAACACCAAGUGCUAACCAAGACGUGGAGCUGCUGGAGCUCCCACACACUGCUGGUGAGGAUGUAAGUCAAUAGAGCCACUUUGGAAAACUGUUUGGCAGUGUCUAGACAAGCUAAACAUAUGCCUACUCUAUGAUUCCACGCCUGAGUAGAUGAGUGAACAUGUGUACCAAGCAGCAUGUAAAAAAUCCUUCACAGCAGUUUUAUUUAUGAUACCCCCAAACUAGAAACAACCCAGUUGUCCCUCAACAGGAUGGCUGGGCCAGGCUUGGUGGCUCACGCUUGUAAUCCCAGCACUUUGGGAGGCUAAGGUGGGUGGAUCGCUUGAGCCCAGGAGUUUGAGACCAGCCUGGGCAACAGGGUGAGACGCCAUCCCUACAAAAAAUACGAAAAACUAGCUGGCAUGGUGGCAUGUGCCUGUAGUCCCAGCUACUUGGGAGGCUGAGGCGGGAGGAUCACUUGAGCCCAGGAGUUCGAGACCAGCCUGGGCAACAGAGACUCCAUCUCUACAAAAAAUAGAAAAAAUUAGCUGGUGUGGUGGCAUGUGCCUGUAGUCUCAGCUACUUGGGAGGCUGAGGUGGGAGGAUCACUUGAGCCCAGGAGGUCGAGGCUGCAGUGAGUCUUGAUGGCACCACUGCAUUCCAGCCUGGGGGCCAGAGUGAGAACAUCUCAAAAACAAAAACAAAAAAGUAGGAUGGCUAAAUUGUGCUAUAUUCAAAUAAAGGACCACUACACAGCACGAAAAAACUCAACUUGUUUUUUUUUUUUUGAGACAGAGUCUUACUACGUCACCUAGGCUGGAGUGCAGUGGCGCGAUCUCAGCUCACUUGCAACCUCCGCCUCCCAGGUUCAAGCGAUUCUCCUGCCUCAGCGAGCAGCUGAGAUUACAGGCAUCCACCACCACGACCAGCUAAUUUUUGUAUUUUUAGUAGAGACAGGGUUUCACCAUGUUGGCUAGGCUGGUCUGGAACUCCUGACCUCAAGUGAUGCGCCCGCCUCGGCCUCCCAAAGAGCUGGGAUUACAGGCAUGAGCCACUGCGCCUGGCUGAAAAAAAAAAACUGAACUUCUGAGACAUACAGUAACAUGGGUGAAUUCCACAAACUAAUAUUGUGCAAAAUGUAUGAUUCCAUUUUUAUAAAACUCAAGAGCAAGCAAAACUAAUCUAUAAUGAUCGAGGUCAAAAUAGUGGUUGCUUCUGGGGGAUACUGACUAGGAGGGGAAAUGAGGGAAUGUUUUAGGGACCUGGCAAUGUUCUGUAUCUUGAUCUGGAGGGUGACUGCCCCAAUGUAUACAUGUAAGUGAGGAUUCAUCAAACUGAAGUCUAAAAUUGGUGCACAUUACUGAAUGUAUGGUGUACCUCAAAAAGUUAGAGAAAAAAAGGAAACAGUUAAACAAUUUCUGGGUAUAGUGCACAGUUGUUUUUGUCCCCCUCCCCCUGCAUCCAUUCCCCCUUAAUCUGGAAAGAGCCCUACAACCUUCUUCUUUUGGGGUUGUAUCACUCCCUCUCUCAAUGUUUUAGGUGGAGCUGACUCAGCUUUAGGCACAUGACCCAGGCCCCAAAUCAGAGUGCCUUUUCCCCUAGCCACAAUGAUUAAUUCAGGGAUGAGAACAGGACUAAACCAGUUGAGGCAAUCCCAGAUAUUUUGUUGGAACUAGUGGAGAAAGGUGUUCUUUCCACUGUUGUUACUAACGUAUCAGGAUAGAAGCCUGGGGCUGCCAGUGGCCACCUUGGCACCUCUUGGAGAGAGCUUGCCUGAGAAAGGGCACACAGAGGAAAGCAGAGGGAUAGACAAUUCUUCCUGAUGAGACCAUCUCCGAGUCUGGGUCCAGCUAUCAUUGUAUGUGGAUUUUUCAUUAAGUGAAUCAAUACAUUUACCUUUUUAGCUAAUCGCUUUGAUUUGGGUUUCUAACACUUUAAUAAUUAGAGUCUACUACACUGGGAUCAUGGGAAUGGACAAAAUUAUGAGAAAAAUGGAGGGACUUGGAAUAUAAACAUUGAGCCUUGUCUCAUCUGUUUUGUGGGUGCUGCCCCUGCCCUGAGUGGCUGCUCACCCUGUGAGACCAUGGCACUGACAGGAGAUGGGUGAGGCAGGCUGCAGGGGCCAUGUGGGAGGUACUCUGGUCCUCACUCAUAAAGGGUUCCAGAGGAAGUCUAGAGAACUGGAUUCUACUCUCCAUUUUGUCAUUUCUUAGAGGCAAGACCUUGGGCAAAUCAUGAUACCUUUUUCAGCCUUGUUCCUUCUCUCCAUGGUUUUUAUUUAUUUUAUUUUUUAUUUUUUGUAGAGAUGGGAUUUCACCACGUUGGCCAGGAUGGUCUUAAACUCCCGGCCGCAAGUGAUACACCCGCCUUGGCCUCCCAAAGUGCUGGGAUUACAGAUGUGAGCCACCCUGCCUGGCCUCCUUCUCUAUAUGGAAUAUUAACUCUUAGCUCAAAGGUUGUUAUGCAGAUGAAAUGCUAGCUUUCCAACCUCUCCAGCUUUUUCAUGCCCUUGGCUGAGUCAGCUCCUGCAUCCUGGGCAUUCUUAUCAUUGUCAUCAUGAUCUUUGACUGUGUGUGAACCCCUAAGGGCAAGAAAGUGUUCAUCUCUAGGUCCCUUUACCAACAGGGCUGGCCACACAGCUGGUAGGGACUACAAAGUGGUCUUGCAGGCCGGAGGCUCACGGUAUGAUAGCCCACUCACCCCCUGCCCUUCAUUUCCUUGCUUGGUAGAUGGGGCUGAAUCUGACAUACUAGGUGGCUUAGAAGGACUCUGGGGAAUUGCUGAGGCAGUCUGAUCAUGGGAAGCUGAGAACCUCCCUUGGGGCUGUGUAGAGCCUUUCACAGCUGACCAGGAGCAGGGGCUGAGUGGCACUGAAUGGGAGCUGAGGCUGCCUGGGCCCCUUCCUCAAAUCUGGCUGUCUACAGUAAAGGAUGGACAAAGAGCUCUUGAGGCCAUAACAUUCCUUUCUUUUUUUAAAUUUUAAAAAUUAUUAUUUUUAGAGACAGGGUCUUGCUCUGUUGUCCAGGCUGGAGUACAGUGGCAUAAUCAUAGCUCACUGCUGCCUUGAACUCAUGGUUAAAGCGAUCCUCCUGCCUCACCCUUCCAGGUAGCCAGGACUACAGGAAUGCACCACCACACCUGGCUACCUUCUUUUAAAAUUUAUUAUUUAUUUAUUUUGAGACAGGAGUCUCACUCUGUCACCUAGGCUGGAGUGCAGUGGCACGAUCUUGGCUCAAUGCGACCCUCCGCCUCCCGGGUUCAAGCAAUUCUCUUGCCUCAGCCUCCCAAGUAGCUGGGACUACAGAUGUGUGCCACCAGGCGCAGCUGAUUUUCGUAUUUUUUAUAGGGACGGGGUUUUGCCAUCAUGUUGGCCAGGCUGGUCUCGAACUUCUGACCUCAGGUUAUCCACCUGCCUUGGCCUCUCAAAGUGCUUGGAUUACAGGCGUGAGCCACGGCGCCCAGCCUUCAAAUUUAUUUUUAUAAUUUUUUUUUUUUUUUAGAUAGAGUCUUGUUAUGUUGCCCUGGCUGGAGUGCAGUGGUUAUUCACAGGCAUGAUCACAGCAUACUUCAGGCUGGAACUCCUGGGCUUGAAUGGUCUUUCUGCCUUAGCCUCCUGAGCAGCUGGGACUAUAGGUGCAUGACGCCGCACCUGGCCAUAACACUCCUUCUCAGCUCAUUUUUGAGUCAUGAAAAAUGCUCUUUCAAGAAUCACCAGGCCUAUGAUAAGUCCCAUGGAACAAACCUAUCACUGUGUAAGAGCUGAGCAGGAGAAAACCAUCUCUCCUCAUACACCUCAUUUGUUCAUUCAAUAAAAAUUCAUGACACACCACUAUGGACAUCAGGAAGUAGAGAUGAAUAAGGCUGGGUCUCUGCCCUAAGUGAUUAGCCUGGAAAGCCAUACUGGACACAGUGUCCAUACUGGCCUCCUUGUCUCCUUUCCUGCCCCUCCCUGCACUCCUUUACAUAACAGCCAGAACAGUUCUCUCAAACAUAAAGCAGAUCCCCAGCUUAAACCCUUUAAAGACCUUCAUGAGGCCCUAUGUGACAGGAGAAGCAGGAGAAGGUGGUGGAUGAGAAGAUGAGGCUGUACUGAGUUCAGGGCACCUGAACUCAAGGGAGACUUUCACAGGGUGCUCGACUCUGUCCCAACUCCUAAAGUGACUACUGGGGACUACUGAGGUCUGAAUGGGGUGGGGGUGAGGGGUCAAGACAGACAUACUAGAUCCAAUGGCAAUAUGGCUCAAAACCCUAGGUCUGUUAAGUUGUAGUCUGGCCCAUGAGGGAAAUUCUUUAUUUGGAUGCUUCAGUGACCAAGAGACAGAGCAUUAG